rnacentral:rRNA from 1 species
CCUACGGGUGGCAGCAGUGAGGAAUAUUGGUCAAUGGGCGCUAGCCUGAACUAGCCACGUAGCGUGAACGAUGACUGCCCUCUGUGUUGUAAACUUCUUUUGUAUGGGAAUAAAUUGCGGUAUGUAUACUGCUUUGCAUGUCCCUUAUGAAUAAGGCUCGGCUAACUCCGUGCCAGCAGCCGCGGUAAUACGGAGGUUGCGAGCGUUAUCCGGAUUUAUUGGGUUUAAAGGGUGCGUAGGCGGGUGGGUAAGUCAGUUGUGAAAGUUUGGGGCUCAACCGUAAAAUUGCAGUUGAUACUGGCGUGCUGGAGUGUAGGAGGGGUAGGUGGAAUUCGUGGUGUAGCGGUGAAAUGCGUAGAUAUCACGAAGAACUCCGAUGGCGAAGGCAGCUUGCUGGACUGUAACUGACGCUGAUGCUCGAAAGCGUGGGGAUCAAACAGGAUUAGAUACCCCUGUAGUC